rnacentral:rRNA from 1 species
GAUGAACGCUGGCGGCGUGCCUAAUACAUGCAAGUCGAGCGAACAGAUGAGGAGCUUGCUCCUCUGACGUUAGCGGCGGACGGGUGAGUAACACGUGGAUAACCUACCUAUAAGACUGGGAUAACUUCAGGAAACCGGAGCUAAUACCGGAUAAUAUAUUGAACCGCAUGGUUCAAUAGUGAAAGACGGUUUUGCUGUCACUUAUAGAUGGAUCCGCGCCGCAUUAGCUAGUUGGUAAGGUAACGGCUUACCAAGGCAACGAUGCGUAGCCGACCUGAGAGGGUGAUCGGCCACACUGGAACUGAGACACGGUCCAGACUCCUACGGGAGGCAGCAGUAGGGAAUCUUCCGCAAAGGGCGAAAGCCUGACGGAGCAACGCCGCGUGAGUGAUGAAGGUCUUCGGAUCGUAAAACUCUGUUAUUAGGGAAGAACAAAUGUGUAAGUAACUAUGCACGUCUUGACGGUACCUAAUCAGAAAGCCACGGCUAACUACGUG